rnacentral:rRNA from 1 species
GAUGAACGCUGGCGGCGUGCCUAACACAUGCAAGUCGAGCGGCAGCGGGUUUUACACUGAGUUCUGGAGGCUGCAAGGUGUAAGAGAAGAUUUAUUCAAGAAUUAUGUGUAAAAUGUCGGCGAGCGGCGGACGGCUGAGUAACGCGUGGGAACGUACCCCACAGCGAGGGAUAGCGCAUCGAAAGGUGUGCUAGUACGGCAUAUGGUCUUCGGAUAAAGGCCUUCGGGCGCUAUGGGAGCGGCCUGCGUAAGAUUAGAUAGUGGGUGGGGUAAUGGCCUACCGAGGAGAAGAUCUUCAACUGGUUUGAGAGGAUGAUCACUCAGUCUGGAAGUGAGACACGGUCCAGACUCAUACGGGAGGGCGGAGUGAGAAAUCUUCCAAAAUGGGAGAGAGUGUGAGGGCGCUGCGGCGCGUGGAGGGUGAAGGCAUUCGGGGUGUAAACUGCUUUUAUAAGUGGAAAUUAUGACGGUAACUUAUGAAUAAGCAUCGGCUAACUACGUG